UGGCUCUUCAAGAGAGGAGUUAACCUUGGAGAGUAGUGGUAUGGGUGAUUCUAACCUUUGGGAUUAGUGUAUUCACCUGCAUCAGAUUUGCUUCCCUAAUUAUAUCCUCACUAUGUUGCAGUUUACAUUGCUUGUGUGCACCCUGGUGAGGCAGUGAUGGGAGGCGGAACAUGGCAGUGUGCAAAGAGCAACAGGCCUGGGAUUUUAAAAUGCUACGGAGAUUCAUUCAUUCGUUCAACUUACUUGAUCAACAGCUGCCCAGGCUGGGUCACAUCAUGGUCCUAUGGAUAACUGAAGAGUUGAUGGUCCUAAGACCCGCAUUCCAGAGAGGGCCCUGCCCCACAUCCGGAAGGAAGGCAUGCAGUUCAGAGAGGCCAAGAGGAGUCAGAGAGGCCAAGAGGAGUCCAGACAGGCAGGCCUGCCUGCAUUUCUCCACUCAGUCUGUGGGCGUCAAAUCCUGUUCGUCCAUUCGUGUUUCCACAUGGCUGUCCACACUUUGUUGAACCUAAGCAUAAAAAUGGACAGUUUCCCCUCUAUCUUUGGAUGUUUAUUCUGAAGGCUUCCGUGAAUACACACUAAAUAAAUGUGUAUGCUUUUUCUCCUAUUAA